AAGAUGUAGGCUGGGAGGCUAAGCCAGUCUAGCCUUUUCACAUUUUUUUCUACCUGCUUUAUAUACUGGUCAUGCUAGCAGCUGAUUGGUGUCCACCCAGAUUAAGGAUGGGUCUGCCUCUCCUAGCCCACUGACUCAAAUGGUAAUCUCCUUUGGCAACACCCUAACAGAUACACCCAGGAUCUAUACUUUACAUCCUUUAAUCCAAUCAACUUACUCCAACAUCCAA